AGCCGCCGACGAAGAAGAAAACAGAGAGACAAAACAGGAGGAUCGUCCUCUUUUGUCUCCACCCGUCCGAUUCAGAUCCGAUCAUGGUCCCUUCCCCGGCGUUUUCUCUCGCCUCACCGUCGCCAUCAUCGCCGCCGCCGCCGCCGCCACCACGUCUCUUCAUUCAUGCAUCCUACGCUUCACCUGGUGGCUAGGACCAUUGUCCUUGACCUGAGGAGCAGCCUCAAAUCUGUUGAUGGAUAAUAUCUGAAGGGACAAGAGAAAUCCUAAGAUCCAACGGAUAGUAACAGAGCGGAAUCGCGCAAAUAGGUAGAGAGCAGAAUCGUGCAGAUUGGAAGUCUGUUCUGUAUGGACUUUGUGCCGAGUGAUAUAUGCUAAACAAAUCCUACUUUGCCUGGCAUCCGCAUACUGGGUUAGACUCUGAAUGAAAGGAGCAGCCAGAACUCGUUUCAGCUACUUGGGAUCAUUUUGCAUAUUCAGCUGUGGCCACAUCACACGAGAAGGAAAUGGUUUUGCAAGGGGUUUGUUGAUUAGCUGUGAAACUGCUUUCACCUUGCCGGGAUCCCUACCUCCAUUGGGUGAGAAGGAAGGGGAAAAGAAAUAAACACACGUCUUGGAGAUGAUGGCAAGGUCGGAUGCACAUAGAACACGAGGAUUGCAAUUAUUCUGUAAUAAGAAAAGAGACCAGAUUCGUUUGUGUAAAUUAAUGAAGUGUUAAGUUGAUGCUUUUACCUCCAAGAAGAAUAUGUCACGAGCACCGCAUUUGCUUCGGUAAGAUCGCACGACUGAAAAUGAGAUUAUAAAUGACGAUUUUUGUCCUGAUUCUGUGAUUUGGAAUUGAACUGUAUUGUAUUAUAA